rnacentral:lncRNA from 1 species
UGCGGACAGCAUCCGGGAUGGUUUUGGCUCCUCUCGCUAUGGCCAGGAUGGUUCUGGAAAUGAGGAAGAAGCCACGGUUUGCUGGGGGCUCCCCCCCGUGACUGACGGAGCUGUCCUUGUGCCAGGCCCUGGGGUGGUGCGUGGCACUCACCCUGCAGGUGAGGACCCACGCUGUGCAGGACGAGCCCAGCUGCUGAGAGUCCACAUUGGCACCGCCCGGCCACAGCGGUCCCUGAGCAGGCGCAUUUGAGAAAGGACUUGCGCUCACUCCCGGGUGAGUGAGGAAAUGGGGACCCUCA